GUUGAUGUAGCUCAGCUGGAAAGAGCGCUGGUUUGCGGAACCAGGGGUCGGGGGUUCGAGUCCCUCCAUCAACACCA
rnacentral:tRNA from 1 species